rnacentral:ncRNA from 1 species
GAGAGCACAGUACGAUGAAAGUUGUAAGCUGUGUUCGGGGGGAGUUAUUGUCUAUCGUCGAGUUUGUUGAUUCUCGGAUACGAAGAUAUCAAAUGGGCUACAUCAAACUCGCAU